rnacentral:lncRNA from 1 species
GCAAAUGUAUACUAUGUAAGGAUACUGCACAUGACACUGUACUUGAUCAACAACUGAAGAUUAUGUCUGCAAUAGUUCUAAAGAAACGAAUAAACUUUGGAGUUAUCCUAUUCGAUCAAAUCUCAAAAUGGGUGGAAAAGGCUGAGUUGAAGAAGUCUACAGAAAAACCACUUACAAAGGUGUUUCAUGGAAGAUUGCUGAGUAUUGUGAUGAAGAAAAGGCUGGGAAGCAAGAUCAAGGAUGAUGAGGGAGAACCCUUGAAUGUUCACAAAGUAAUGUCUCCACAACUGUUCGUGAAUUGGAAGAAAAACCCGAAGGAGAAU